UACGUAGGGACCAAGCGUUGUUCGGAUUUACUGGGCGUAAAGGGCGCGUAGGCGGCGUGGUAAGUCACUUGUGAAAUCUCUGAGCUUAACUCAGAACGGUCAAGUGAUACUGCCGUGCUAGAGUGCGGAAGGGGCAAUCGGAAUUCUUGGUGUAGCGGUGAAAUGCGUAGAUAUCAGGAGGAACACCAGUGGCGAAGGCGGCCAACUGGUCCGGUACUGACGCUGAGGUGCGAAAGCGUGGGGAGCAAACAGG
rnacentral:rRNA from 1 species